AAGUCGUUGUUAGCAGAGGAAGUGGGAGAGCUGGAUAAGCUGAUAGGCAAUUAUAAUUCAGAACUCGAAUGCCAGCCUAGGGGUGUGUGCAGAGUGGGAGGAAGCCUGGAGCUCAACCUGCUUCCCAAAGACAUCUAUUAUCUCCCUAAAGGUCUUGAGAGCUUGGUUUUGUGGCCUUUCUGGUCUCCACCAUCUGGAGGAUGCACCUACCGGCAUACAUCUUGGUGGCCAGUUGAGUAGCCUGGGGCUCCAGGACAAACUCUCUUUGUCCAGCUGUGUCAGCUUUCAGGGAAGUUUGUCAUAAGAGGUCCCAAUUGCUUUCAUAGGGACAUUUGUCGUUUCAACUUUCAUUGCUAGUUCAUUCCACCUGUGCAAUGAAGGCCUUUGCUUUCUUAGACUAUUUUUGGGAGUGAACUUUCUGGAUCUUGUGAGGGUUGCUCCUUUUGCACUCUCUUUU
rnacentral:lncRNA from 1 species